AGGAACUUUCUGCUCUGGGAUUCCUGCAAGGCUGAUGAAAGACAGCUUUCUUAAGUGUUUCAGAAGCCCUGAAGUUUAAUGAAAAGUGUGAGGCACAUCUACAGAAUCAUUUCUUUAAGUGAGCAAGCUCUCCAGGGAUACAGGGCAGAGAACACAACAUCCCUAGUAUCAAUAUCAUUAGUGAUGAUGAAGCAUAAAAGAGUUGUCUGAAAGAAAUAGGAGACAUUCUUGGUAUAAAAUAUGAUGUUCUAUUUCCUGGACUGCAUGUUUGUGUUCGCCAGAAUCAUAUGUUGAAAUCUGAUUUCCAAUGAUAGUAUUUGGAGGUGGCGCCUUUGAAAGAUAAUUGGGUCAUGAGGAUGGAUUUCUCAUGAAUGGGACUAGUCCCUUACAAGAGACUUGACAGAAGUGAUCUCUCUCUUUGCCAUAUGAGGACACAGCAAGAAAACAGCUGUCCAAACACCAGGAAGAGGGCUCUCACCAGAAGCUAACUAUACUGGCAUGCUGAUGUCAGACCUCCUUACCUCCAGAACGAUGCAUAAUAAAUUUCUGUGUUUAUGGUUUUAUGUUAAAGCAGCCUAAACUGACUAAGACAUUUUCUUCAAAACUCUUAUUUUCAGAUAAUCAGUAUUGUGUAGAGAUUUGUUCUUUCAUACAGAAGCCAUAGCCACAUUUGGCUAUUUGAAUAUAUAUUUAAACUAAUUAAAAUUAAGUAUAGUUAAAAAUUAAGGUUUUCAAUCACAUUAGCCAUAAUUCAAGUGCUCAGUAGCCACACAUAGUCAUGGGCUAUCAUAUUAGUCAACAUAUAUUGUGAAUAUUUCUAUCAUCAGAGAAAGUUCUGUUGGUCAGCACUGCUAUACAGAUUAAGAAUAAUAUAUUAGCACAUUCAAAUCAUAUCAUAGUCACUUCUAAGCUGAGUGUUUCUAGAAAAUAAGUUUCUUAACUUUUUUAGGCUUUAAUUUCCUCAUUUUAAGAGUAAGAACAAUAGUAGUAUCCAUAUCUUAGGAUUUUCAUCAGAAUAAGCUACUACACUGAAGUACUAAAAUACAUUGCAGAGUGAUUAAUAAAUUGAGAAAAUAGUUGAUGUACAAAUGGACCAUACCAGAUUGUAUCUAAAAAUAGAACUCUCACCCACAAUCUGCAGCAACCAGUCCAAGAAGCCAACCCACUAUCUGCAGUAACCAGUCCAGGAAAUCAAACUAUUAUCUUUAACAACCGGUUCAGGAAGCCAAACAAUAAACCUUUAUAGCAAUUAGCCUCAAAUGACCAGGACUUCUUAAUAACUUACAGCUUCCCUAACCUUUGCCCUCAUCCACUUUUUAAAGUUCUUUUCCCACUUCCAACUUGAGACCAAAUGAAAGGAGAUAAUUAUGCACCCAUAACCAAUUGCAUAGGAUGCCCUGCUCCAGGCAACCCUCUUACAGCUUCCUCAUGUCAACAGCCUCCAAAACAGGUAUAUUUGAAGCUUUCCCUUUUCUCCAUUAUACAGUUUUUCCUUUUUCUUUCUUUGGGCCUUUGCCAAAAUGCAAGUGAUAAACUUACCUUUAUUUAGCAUUGA